CUCAGACAUCAGAUUCAGAAGGCUGAACUUCAUUUCCAGCUUUCAUCUCCUGGUUUUAGUGACCUAGGAAGACUUCCAGAGAAGGCAAUGACAACCCACUCCAGUACCCUCACCUGGAAACUCCCAUGGAUGGAGGUGCCUGGAUUUAUCCUGCUUUUCCUGGCUCCCAUGGGGACAAAACCACUGGUUGAUGGCUCAUCAAGUCCUUACUCAUGGAUGAGGCUAUUGAAGGCAGGGACAAACAGAGGUUAGAAUUGGAAGGUUUCACCAAGGAGAGCACA
ensembl:lncRNA